rnacentral:rRNA from 1 species
AUUGAACGCUGGCGGCAGGCCUAACACAUGCAAGUCGAGCGGAUGAAGGGAGCUUGCUCCUGGAUUCAGCGGCGGACGGGUGAGUAAUGCCUAGGAAUCUGCCUGGUAGUGGGGGAUAACGUCCGGAAACGGGCGCUAAUACCGCAUACGUCCUGAGGGAGAAAGUGGGGGAUCUUCGGACCUCACGCUAUCAGAUGAGCCUAGGUCGGAUUAGCUAGUUGGUGGGGUAAAGGCCUACCAAGGCGACGAUCAGUAACUGGUCUGAGAGGAUGAUCAGUCACACUGGAACUGGGACACGGUCCAGACUCCUACGGGAGGCAGCAGUGGGGAAUAUUGGACAAUGGGCGAAAGCCUGAUCCAGCCAUGCCGCGUGUGUGAAGAAGGUCUUCGGAUUGUAAAGCACUUUAAGUUGGGAGGAAGGGCAGUAAGUUAAUACCUUGCUGUUUUGACGUUACCAACAGAAUAAGCACCGGCUAACUUCGUG